GGGGAAACUGGGGAUAAUCCCUGAUAGAUCUCGGUCGCUGGAAUGCUCCGAGAUCCAAAGCUCCGGCGCUCAAGGAUGGGUCUGCGGCCUAUCAGGUAGUAGUGGGUGUAGCGUACCUACUAGCCUACGACGGGUACGGGUUGUGAGAGCAAGAGCCCGGAGAUGGAUUCUGAGACACGAAUCCAGGCCCUACGGGGCGCAGCAGGCGCGAAAACUUUACAAUGCGGGAAACCGUGAUAAGGGAACUCUGAGUGCCCGUAAAAUCGGGCUGUCCAUCAGUUUAAAUACCUGGUGAAGAAAGGGCCGGGCAAGACCGGUGCCAGCCGCCGCGGUAACA
rnacentral:rRNA from 1 species